rnacentral:rRNA from 1 species
CCUACGGGUGGCAGCAGUGGGGAAUAUUGCACAAUGGGGGAAACCCUGAUGCAGCAACGCCGCGUGAGUGAGGAAGUAUUUCGGUAUGUAAAGCUCGAGCAGCAGGGAAGAGAAAAGAAGGGACCGGAAAAAGAAGCCCAGGCUAACUACGUGCCAGCAGCCGCGGUAAGACGUAGGGGGCAAGCGUUAGCCGGAUUUACUGGGUGUAAAGGGAGCGUAGACGGAAAGGCAAGUCAGAAGUGAAAACCCAAGGCUCAACCAUGGGACUGCUUUUGAAACUGUCAAACUAGAGUACGGGAGAGGUAAGAGGAAUUCCUAGUGUAGCGGUGAAAUGCGUAGAUAUUAGGAGGAACACCAGUGGCGAAGGCGUCUUACUAAACUGCCACUGACAUUGAUGCUCGAAAGUGUGGGUAUCAAACAGGAUUAGAUACCCUUGUAGUC